rnacentral:rRNA from 1 species
AUGGAUUGCAACAUCCUUGUUUGGAAUGUGCGUGGGCUAAACAACCUGGCACGGCGUGGAGUGGUUAGGUUUGUCAUCAGGUCACACAAUGUGGCGAUGGCUUGUAUCCAGGAGAGCAAAUUAGAGUUUGUGGAUUUAGGGGUAGUGCAUCAAUGUUGUGGUCAAGAUUUCAAUAAAUUUACCUUUGCACCGGCUGUUGGAACAAGGGGAGGCAUCGUUCGGGCGUGGAAGGGUGACAAGUUCGAUCUACUGCACAUCAACAUCAAUGCAAAUUUCAUUGCUGCACAUGGACGGAUAAGCUCUGGAUCCCCUUUCGGGAUGCUCACGGUGUAUGGACCAUAG